rnacentral:rRNA from 1 species
AAUCAACGCUGGCGGCGUGCCUCAGACAUGCAAGUCGAACGAUUAAAGCUCUCUUCGGAGAGUGCAUAGAGUGGCGCACGGGUGAGUAACACGUAAGUAAUCUACCUUCGAGUGGGGAAUAACGUCCGGAAACGGGCGCUAAUACCGCAUAAUGCAGCGGCAUCGCAAGAUGACAGUUGUUAAAGGAGCAAUCCGCUUGAAGAGGAGCUUGCGGCAGAUUAGCUAGUUGGUAGGGUAAUGGCCUACCAAGGCUACGAUCUGUAACCGGUCUUAGAGGACGGUCGGUCACACUGACACUGAAUAACGGGUCAGACUCCUACGGGAGGCAGCAGUCGGGAAUUUUGGGCAAUGGGGGAAACCCUGACCCAGCAACGCCGCGUGAAGGAUGAAGUAUUUCGGUAUGUAAACUUCGAAAGAAUAGGAAGAAUUAAUGACGGUACUAUUUAUAAGGUCCGGCUAACUACGUGCCAGCAGCCGCGGUAAAGU